rnacentral:tRNA from 1 species
ACCCAGAUAGCUCAGUUGGUAGAGCAGCGGACUGAAAAUCCGCGUGUCGGUGGUUCGAUUCCGCCUCUGGGUGCCA